GAUUUUUGCAUUUUUUGCAGUCGCAUUGUUUUGAAACUUAUUCGGUCAAAUUUUAUGGUAAAGAGAAACGUACCGCGAAGAUUUUGAGCAUAUAUAUGAUUGAAUUGGAUGAAAACUCGCAAAAUUAUCCAACGAUAACUAUACUAUAUAUGUAACUUGUACAGUUUUGCUUUAAUUAUUGCUCACUAUUUGCAUAGAAAGCAAAUUAUAACAGACCAUAGAUGAUAAACCCUUAUCCAGUGCUCUCAUCAGUUUACUAACAAGCAAGGAGGGGGGGGGGGUACAUAACAGUUCAUUUUUCAUAAUUAUGAGGACAGAGCCGAUGAUGAUGAAAGAUUCAAGUAUAAAACACCAUUCACAAGACUAGAUGUUAACAUAGCACAGUAUUUCUGGCAAUAAAACGCUCCAACUGACGAACUGACCAUUUCACACGAACUUUUAUCGCUGGAUAAUUUUGCGAGUUUUCAUCCAAUUCAAUCAUAUAUAUGCUCAAAAUCUUCGCGGUAAGUUUCUCUUUACCAUAAAAUUUGACCGAAUAAGUUUCAAAACAAUGCGACGGCAAAAAAUGCAAAAAUUUUGAUUUUCGUAAUAGAAUCUACAGUCUUUUUGCCCUCUUGUACCGACAUCUUGGAUUUAUCAUGUAGGCCCCGCCUGCGCUGGGUAUGCGUUAGCAAUCUAGAUCUCCUAUAUCUAUGG